rnacentral:rRNA from 1 species
GGAUGCGAUCAUACCAGCACUAACGCGCCGGAUCCCAUCAGAACUCCGAAGUUAAGCGUGC